rnacentral:tRNA from 1 species
UUGGGUGUAGCCAAGCGGUAAGGCACGGGACUUUGACUCCCGCAUUCGUAGGUUCGAACCCUGCCACCCCAGCCA